ACCCAUAAAUCAGAUGACAGCUGAUAAAAUACACACAUUCCUGCUGUGAACACAAGCCGUCAUGAAUAUCAUUUCCACAUCUUGUUUCCUUCAUUUCUUCCAGUUCAAAUUGAUCCUUUAUGGGCCACUUAGGUACAGGAGUUUAUGCAGCACAGUCAUGUAUUAAUAUGAUCUGCAUUCCCAGUUCAGGUUCCAGUUUGGAUGAGAAAGGUUGGAUGAUUUUGAUCAUCUUCUACCCACAUCAUAGAAAAAUACACAGGAAAUGUGACCGACAUUUACACAAAAUUAUCACUUUUUAAAAAUCAACAGAAAACAAAAAUAUGUUAAU